UGAGGAAUAUUGGUCAAUGGGCGCAAGCCUGAACCAGCCAUCCCGCGUGCAGGAAGACGGCGCUAUGCGUUGUAAACUGCUUUUCCAGGGAGAGAAACUUGCGCACGUGUUGCGCAAUUGACGGUACCCUGGGAAUAAGCAUCGGCUAACUCCGUGCCAGCAGCCGCGGUAAUACGGAGGAUGCGAGCGUUAUCCGGAUUCAUUGGGUUUAAAGGGUGCGUAGGCGGACUAUUAAGUCAGUGGUGAAAUCCUGCAGCUUAACUGCAGAACUGCCAUUGAUACUGAUAGCCUUGAGUUUGGUUAAGGUAGGCGGAAUGUGUAAUGUAGCGGUGAAAUGCUUAGAUAUUACACAGAACACCAAUUGCGUAGGCAGCUUACUGAGCCGACACUGACGCUGAGGCACGAAAGCGUGGGUAGCAAACAG
rnacentral:rRNA from 1 species